rnacentral:misc_RNA from 1 species
UUAAGUUCAGCGGGUAGUCUUACUUGAUUUGAGAUCGAGUUUACAAGUUCUUGCGAACGAGUUUUCCUGCAAUCAGCGAUUGUGGCGCAUUCGACCUUUAUGUUAGCUGAAGCAAAAGUAAUAAUCCGUUUGACGGGACUAAAUAGAUAUGCUUUUAGCUCAGAAGAAUGUCCUGCUGCACCUGCAUUUCAAGCGACCUC